UCAAGCUACAAAGAGCGCAAGGGGAAUGCCUUGGCACCAGGAGCCGACGAAGGACGCAGCAAUCUGCGAAAAGCCACGGGGAGCCGAAAGCAGGCAUCGAUCCGUGGAUGUCCGAAUGGGGAAACCCGGCUGAGUGAAGCUCAGUCAGCGUACACUGAAUCCAUAGGUGUGCGUGGGGAACCGCCUGAACUGAAACAUCUAAGUAGGGCGAGGAAAAGAAAUCAACCGAGAUUCCGCAAGUAGUGGCGAGCGAACGCGGAAGAGGCCAAACCGGCUGUAGAAAUAUGGCCGGGGUAAGGACAGCAAAAUGUAUGUUGGACCCUAGCAGAAGGGCAUGGGACGGCCCACCACAGAGAGUGAUAGUCUCGUAUGCGAAAGGGAAAAACAGCAGGCUGUAUCCAGAGUACCACUGGACACGUGAAACCCGGUGGGAAUAUGGGGGGACCACCCUCCAAGCCUAAAUACUCCCUGGUGACCGAUAGUGAAGAGUACUGUGAAGGAAAGGUGAAAAGAACCCCGGGAGGGGAGUGAAAAGAACCUGAAACCUUGUGCUUACAAGCACACAGAGCACGUCAAGGUGUGAUGUGGUACCUUUUGUAGAAUGGUCCGGCGAGUGAAUGUAACGAGCAAGGUUAAGCACUUUAGGUGCGGAGCCGAAGCGAGAGCAAGUCUGAAUAGGGCAUCAAGUUCGUUGUAUUCGACCCGAAACCGGGUGACCUAGCCAUGUCCAGGCUGAAGUGAAGGUAAAACUUCAUGGAGGGCCGAACCCACUCCCGUUGAAAUGGUAGGGGAUGAGGUGUGGCUAGCGGAGAAAUUCCAAUCGAACCCGGAGAUAGCUGGUUCUCUCCGAAAUAGCUUUAGGGCUAGCCUCGACUGAACAUUACCGGAGGUAAAGCACUGAAUGGGCUAGGGGCCGAGAGGUUACUGAACCCUAUCAAACUAAGAAUGCCGGAUAAUGAUAGUCGGGAGUCAGACAGUGUGAGAUAAGUUUCAUUGUCGAAAGGGAAACAGCCCAGACCCACAGCUAAGGUCCCAAAGUAUCGUUAAGUGGAAAAGGAUGUGGAACUGCCCAGACAACCAGGAUGUUGGCUCAGAAGCAGCCAUACAUUCAAAGAGUGCGUAAUAGCUCACUGGUCGAGUGGUUCUGCGCCGAAAAUUUAACGGGGCUAAACGAUACACCGAAGCUUGGGAUGCAGCAUUGGCUGCAUGGUAGGAGAGCGUUCUGUACGGGGUGAAGUCAUAGCGGAAGCGGUGGUGGACUGUACAGAAGAGAGAAUGCCGGAAUGAGUAGCGAGAUUUAUGUGAGAAUCAUAAAGGCCGAAAGACUAAGGAUUUAGAAGGAAGGUUCGUCCGCUUCUAGUUAGCCGGGAGCUAAGGCGAGGCCGAAAGGCGUAGUCGAUGCACAUACGGUGGAGAUUCCGUAGCCGCCUCUUAAUUUAAGCAAAGGGACACUUUCAAAGGGAAUGACCCGGGCGUUGGUAGCCCCGGGCGAAAGGGACCGAAAUUAGAGUAGGGAAGCAUUUCUGGAGGAAGGCGAGAAAAGCUUUGCGGAUAGAGAGAGGCGCCCGUACCGCAAACCGACACAGGUAGUCAGGAAGAGGAUUCUAAGGCCAACGGGAGAAGGGUAGUUAAGGAACUCGGCAAAUUGACCCCGUAACUUCGGAAUAAGGGGUGCUCCUGAAAAGGAGCCGCAGUGAAUAGGCCCAGGCGACUGUUUAUCAAAAACACAGCUCUCUGCUAAAUCGAAAGAUGAAGUAUAGGGGGUGACACCUGCCCGGUGCUGGAAGGUUAAGAGGAAGGGUGCAAGCUCUGAAUUGAAGCCCCAGUAAACGGCGGCCGUAACUAUAACGGUCCUAAGGUAGCGAAAUUCCUUGUCGGGUAAGUUCC
rnacentral:rRNA from 1 species